rnacentral:tRNA from 1 species
GCUGGAGUGGCGGAAUGGUAUACGCGGCGGACUCAAAAUCCGCUGUCCGCAAGGGCAUGAGGGUUCGACUCCCUCCUCCAGCA